rnacentral:rRNA from 3 species
UACGUAGGGUGCGAGCGUUGUCCGGAAUUAUUGGGCGUAAAGAGCUUGUAGGCGGUUUGUCGCGUCUGCUGUGAAAUUUCGGGGCUCAACCCCGAACUUGCAGUGGGUACGGGCAGACUAGAGUGUGGUAGGGGAGACUGGAAUUCCUGGUGUAGCGGUGAAAUGCGCAGAUAUCAGGAGGAACACCGAUGGCGAAGGCAGGUCUCUGGGCCACUACUGACGCUGAGAAGCGAAAGCAUGGGGAGCGAACAGG